rnacentral:rRNA from 1 species
AUUGAACGCUGGCGGCAGGCCUAACACAUGCACGUCGAGCGAGCGGCGGACGGGUGAGUAAUGUAUGGGGCCUGCCCGAUAGAGGGGGAUAACUACUGGAAACGGUAGCUAAUCCCGCAUACUAUCGGAUAACCCAUAUGGGAUUAGCUAGUAGGUGAGGUAAUGGCGCACCUAGGCGACGAUCCCUAGCUGGUCUGAGAGGAUGAGCAGCAAUAAGGUGACUGAGACACGGCCCAGACUCCUAUGGAGGCAGCAGGGGGGAAUAUUGCACAAGGGGCGAGAGCCUGAUGCAGCCAUGGCGGGUGUAUGAAGAAGGCCCUAGGGUUGUAAAGUACUUUCAGUCGGGAGGCGUUACCGACAGAAGAAGCACCGGCUAACUCCGUGCCAGCAGGCGCGGUAAUUC